AUUGAACGCUGGCGGCAGGCCUAACACAUGCAAGUCGAACGAGUGGCGGACGGGUGAGUAAUGUCUGGGAAACUGCCUGAUGGAGGGGGAUAACUAAUGGAAACGGUAGCUAAUACCGCAUACUCUCAGAUGAGCCCAGAUGGGAUUAGCUAGUUGGUGGGGUAACGGGUCACCAAGGCGACGAUCCCUAGCUGGUCUGAGAGGAUGACCAGCCACACGGGCACUGAGACACGUUCCAGACUCCUACGGGAGGCAGCAGUGGGGAAUAUUGCACAAUGGGCGCAAGCCUGAUGCAGCCAUGCCGCGUGUAUGAAGAAGACCUUAGGGUUGUAAAGUACUUUCAGCGGGGAGGCGUUACCCGCAGAAGAAGCACCGGCUAACUCCGUGCCAGCAGCCGCGGUAAUAC
rnacentral:rRNA from 1 species